rnacentral:rRNA from 1 species
AAUGAACGCUGGCGGCAGGCCUAAUACAUGCAAGUCGAACGAGUGGCGGACGGGUGUGUAAUGUCUGGGAAACUGCCUGAUGGAGGGGGUUAACUACUGGAAACGGUAGCUAAUACCGCUUACCAUCCGCUGUGCCCAGAUUGGAUUCGCUAGUUGGUGGGGUAACGGCUCACCAAGGCAACGAUCCACAGCUGGUCUGAGAGGAUGACCGGCCACACUGGAACUGAGACACGGUCCAGACUCCUACGGGAGGCAGCAGUAGGGAAUAUUGCGCAAUGGGCGCAAGCCUGAUGGAGCCAUGCCGCGUGAGUGAAGAAGGCCUUCGGGUUGUAAAAUACUGUCAGCAGGGAGGCGUUACCCGCAGAAGAAGCACCGGCUAACUCCGUGCCAGCAGCCGCGGUAAUUC